rnacentral:rRNA from 1 species
UACGUAGGGUGCGAGCGUUGUCCGGAAUUAUUGGGCGUAAAGAGCUCGUAGGCGGCUUGUCGCGUCGACUGUGAAAUCCCGCGGCUCAACUGCGGGUCUGCAGUCGAUACGGGCAGGCUAGAGUUCGGUAGGGGAGACUGGAAUUCCUGGUGUAGCGGUGAAAUGCGCAGAUAUCAGGAGGAACACCGAUGGCGAAGGCAGGUCUCUGGGCCGAUACUGACGCUGAGGAGCGAAAGCGUGGGGGAGCAAACAGG